UACAGCCAUACCACCCUGAAUGCCCCAGAUCUUGUCUGAUCUUGGAUGCUAAGCAGGUCAGGCCUGGUUACUACUAGGUUGGGAGAAAGCAUGAUUCAUGUGUGU
rnacentral:rRNA from 1 species